rnacentral:misc_RNA from 1 species
CGCAUUUCUUCGGUUCCAUCGACUUGCUGUUUUGAUUUAUCUUCUCCUCGACUUUGUCUGUGAUGGAAAGAGGAAGAGCUUGAAAGCAAAAGCAGACCUCACUUGAGCAAUUUUCAGGUAAUGGUAAAUAACGCCCUUGUAGCUGCUCUUCUCUUAAUAGAUCCUCCCUCCUCUCACUUCCGAGAGAAGCUAAACUAACAGCCACGAACAAUCCUUUAACCACUCUCCUCUUCCACGCGGUUUUAGUUGCUUCUUCUGCAACCCAUGUCCGACCACCGCUAGAAGGAGGGUGACUCUGUUCCUUUCUACGCCAACAAGGUCAGCCCUGCUUACUACCCCAGUGAUGGAUUCUCUUUCUAAGUCUUUCAAUCCAAACAAACGCCUCAAAGAAGAAUUUGUAAGCAAUUUGACUGGAUCUUCCAUGCUUGAGAUCGCUGUACUUUCCACUGCUAUCCCUCUUAUCUUUGUUUUGCGACACUCCAUCUGCUUUGGUUACAAAACU